CAGAAAAAGAGAUUAAAAAGCAAAAAGCAAUGGAUGGUGAGAAAUGUAGAGAAAGCAAGUAGGGAAGCUAACCAUUGCACAGCAAAGGAAGGCAAAGCAAGGCAAAGAAUGAAAAAAUGCAGCCUUCCAGGAAUGCAGGAAUGUGGGAAAGCUGAGCCCCGGCUUGCCACAGGAGCUGCGCAGAAGGAGAAGAAGCGUUGUAGAGCUGUCAGGCAGACGGGGGUUGAUUUGCCACUCUCAGCAGGUAUGAGACUAGCAAUACUUUCUGUAAGUGCAUUGCAGUUGAGAAAUGAGUUUGUUUUGGCUAUAGAAACAGUGUAUUUGAGGGAUUUUGGUGGAUGUGGCCUAAAGGAUAAGGAUUCAGUUGGCGACUGCUUUCUGUGAUGUGGAAAUGCUGUCCUUUGUGUUAGGGAUGGAGCAUGGGAUUCGAUUGGCUCUUAUUGAGAAAGGGGAAAAUGGGCAGCCUGUGUGGGUAAGAACAUUCUGUGAGCUGUAGUUUGGGUGUGUUCAGCUAAAUAGGACUGUAUGAAAGGGCGUGUGAUGGAGGAGAGAGGAAAGUGCCUUGUGUUGACUAUAAAGAUGGUAGAAUGUUAGAGCAGUGGAAAGGCAAAUUAAAGAAACCGUGCUUGGAAACUGGAAGGUUGUGGGUGACUGUGCCAAAAUCUUCCUCCAAAGAGUUGCUCUUCAAGUACUUCUUGCUUUCUCCCUGCCACAAGCUGAUACCAGUAGCCAUCCAGUGCAGCGUGGCUAUGCAGAAAGGCUGGGGAAGAAGACAGAGCUUGAGAAGGCACCAAGGACACGUACAGUGAGCUGAAGGCAGUGUGUGUGGAGCCUUGUGAUGGGAAACCCACGGUCCCCACAGGGUAGGUGCGGAAAAGAAAUGGAGCUGAGAUGCAUCUGUGUGCUGUGAGUGCUAUUGCUGAGGACAGGGAGGAGCCCCAGCUGAUAAAAGGGCUUUGGUAAGAACAGUGGUGAAAGCAGGAGUGGAUAUGGAAGGUUUGGAUUGCUCAUGGAGGAACGGUGGAAGUGUCAAAUAUUCUGCAGGUUCAGCAUGCGCUGCGCCCUGCCUGCGCCCUGCCUGCGCCCUGCCUGGUUUUUUGUCCUUUCCUUUUUAGGGUAGGAAAGCAAAUUUCUGGGGCAGGGGAAGAAGAAAUGCAGCAGUCUUCUCUGCACAGCUCAUUUUGCGUGAGUUGCCAGGUGCUGCUGUGGUAAUUGGUGCUGAUGAGCCGGCCUUCGUGGCAGGGCUGUGGCUUUAUUUUAUGUCAGAAUUUGAGGGCUAUGAUUUUCCCACUCAACUGGGGUGUUGAUGCUGCUGCACGUAUCUCCCAUUUUGCCCUUCUGCUCUGUGUAAAAGAAUAGCAAAACAUGCCAUCUCUGUGUGCAAUUUCCUUCAAGUAUUUUACUUCCAGAUUCCCUAAAAUUUGGAUCUGGGAGGUGACCACUCCUUUGUCUAUGAUGAAAGCACAGCGGUGAUGCAGGCACUUGCUGAGGUCACAGUGGUUGCCGGGCUGGGAGCGUUUGUGCCCCAGCUGGGAGCAGAGCUGGUGCUCUAG